UCAUUUUGCUCAAAGGAAAAAGUGCCUUCCAUCAUUUUUGACACACACGACAGAGUCUAGAAUCUGCUCUCGUCUUCCGUCUCUUCUAUUCCAACCGAUGGAGGAGUUUCAGUUCGCCUUCUUCAAACUUUCAACAAUACUCGUAGCUCUUUUCGUCUUCUUAUCUAUCUAUUAGAUUUCAGGCAUUAUUCGCUCAAUCCUUGCUCGCAUCUUCUUUGUUUUCUCUUUGUCUUCUUUUCUUUCUUUGCUACUUUUAGAUCUAUUUAACUGUUUUCAAUUUCAUGGAUAAAUUUCCUUGGAUUUUGUAUUUUCCAACCAGAUGAUGCGGAAUUACCAUUUUAAGGGCUAUUCUCCGUCCAAUUUCAUUGAUGUUGCCUUCUUCUUGCUGAUUCACCUCUAUCUCUUCUUCUUCAUAAGGUAUUGAAAUUUAUUGUUCUACUAACUUAAAACAAAAAGGAUAUUUAAUUUUACUCCUAAUUCAUGUUGUUCUUCCUUUUCUUUACAUUUUUUGUAUAUGUUAUAUUUCUAUGAAUUGUGAAUCGCGAGUAUGUUUUCAGGCUCUUCUUAACUGCCUCUGCGCACACCCCUCACUCUCCAUAGCCGAGGAAAAGAACAGUAAGAACUCAUGAUAACCUAAUUUUGAUAAAGCACUAAAAUUGGUGUAUGGGUUGAGAUUGAAAUAAAGUGAAUGAAUUAAGUCAAAUGGCUAUUGGGAAAAAUUUAUGCAUAUAAAUUUCUAUUGACAGAUUUUAUUCAUUAUUUCAUGUCUUAGGAAUGCUUAAUUAGGCUUAAGAUGAUUUGGGAACUUUUCUUAAAAGUUGUGUUCGAGCAACAUCUGAUUGUUUAAACUUAAAUUCAUUUAUCUGGCUACAAAUUUAUGGAAUAAGGAAGGUAUGUUAAAGGGCAUGUAAUGGGAUUGCUUUAUAUGAUGACUCAUUGUUGUUGAUGGGAUUUGAAAGUAGAGGAAUAUUUAAAAGUAGAGGAGUAGGAAGUAGAGCACCGAGGAUUGAUAAAGAUUGUAUGAAGUUGCAAGACACUAAUGGUCCAGAAAAAGGACGAGAAAAUAGCACAGAUAUCCAAAACUUUAAGAAGCAGACAAGAGGAAUAGAGAUGUAAGGACAUGUAUAAGAGGAUACCUAAGCCAAGGAAGUAGCUUAAUUUUUUUUAUUUUUUUAUUCCUUGUUUAUUGGCAUCCACUGAUACAAUGUGUGUUCAACUAUAAAUUAUAGUUGUUUGUCUUAUUGGAAAUUCUCAUUCACCCAUCUUUAAGCCUAAUUUGUCUUAUUUUCUACUGAUAUGUCCAUGUCUUAUUAUCAACAUAUGUUAUCUUCACCUAUACUUUCUUAUUAUUCUCUACUUUUAUGCAAUUUUAUUAGAAUAUUCUUUAAGUUUGUAUUUUAUUAAGAUAUUUUGUCCAAAAGUAUAAGUGACGGAUGGAUCUUUCCAUCUUGCAUACUUGACUGAUUGAUUCACUUGGUUACUUCUUGACAAUUGGUUUUUUCUCCUGUUAGUUCAGUACCGAAUGCAUAUGGAUUAUCAGGUUUGUAUAUUUAUCAGUGGAAAAUAUUAUUGCAUUCAUAAAUACACUUUGUUUUAACAUAAAUAUAGCAUGUAUUAAAACAUUCUUCCAUGAUGAUUACUUUCAACUUUUACAAAUUAAAACUAUUACAGGAACCUAGAAAAAGGAUUAUUUUCAAGGUCAUGAAAGAGUACUCAAAGGUCCUCCUCCAUCACUUCAAGUGGCAAAGGCUGUGAACUAUUUAACUUGGUACCCUUCUUUUUAUCCAUCAAGGCCUCUACAUGCUGCUCUUUACUUCCUUUUUGGGUGUAAGUUUUUUUUUCUUCAUAUUUAUGUUUAUCAUUGUGAUUAUUGAUGGUAAGGCCCAGCUCUCUUCGCAUUCAGUUUCUUAAAUCAAUUGGUGUGUUUGCUUUUGUGCUUUUAAUUUAUUUCAUCACUUUCAAGUUGUAGUUACAAGUUCAAAGAUCAAUUGAUUUUUUUUUAAUAUUCCGGAACAUAUGAUGACUAAUAGCUUGUUUGGCCAAGCUGCAAAAAUUAACUUAUUUUGAGAAGUGUUUUUUCUCAAAAGUGCUUUUUUCAAAAGUAUUUUUUGGUGAGAAUCAGUUUGUGUUUGGCUAAUUAAUUUGAAAAGCACUUCUGAGCAGCAAUUAGUAUUUGGCCAAGUUUUUAAAAACUGCUUCUAAGUGUAUUUUUCUUAAAAGUGCUUUUCAAAAAAGUGCUUUUGGAGAGAAGCUACUUUUUUCUGCUUCUCCAAAACUGCUUCUGCUUCUCCUCAAAAGCACUUUUCUUUCUUCAAAAAGCUUGGUCAAACACUUUAACUUUGAAAAAAAAGUACUUCUUUUAAAAAGAAAAGUGCUUUUGGCUUUGGAGAAGCUGGGCCAAACAGGCGAUAAGUCUAGCAUUCAAAAACUUUCCUCUUAGUUAGAAAAGGUAGUAUUGUAAUGCAUGAAAUAACUGGUGAUCGAGGAGGUUUUAUAUUCAUACUUUGAAAGUUCUAGCUUUGAUAUUGCCUAUUAUUUGUGGCUACAAGAGUUGCUUUAAUUUUUAUUUGGCUGAAUAGGUAGGGUGAUUUAUGAUACAAUAACAUGUCGUAGUAUGUACACUUUCGGAAAUAAGUACUUCGUAAAAUUGUACUAUUGUUAGGUAUUGAGUUUUAUUUGUGAAUUGAAGUAUAUAACUCUUUCGCACAGUGUAUUAAUACCAUGAGAUAUUUUUCCGUUCUAUGAGUUUAUCUACUAAGAUUAAGGACAAAUAAAAUAAGAAAUCAAGGAUAGUUUUGCAUAAUUAUUGUAGUGUAUUUGGUAACAGUGGCAUGGUAUAACUUUGUUUGUUUCCUUGGUUAUAAGUCUUUGCAAAUUAAAUAUAAUGUACUACAAAUGUAUUUAUAAAAAAGUGCAAUUUAUGCAAAAAGGGUGACAAGAACAAACCAAAAUUUUGAGGAAAAAAAAAAACAUAUUACCUAGGCUGAGUGCCAUUUCAAACAUAAGGUGCUCUUGCAGAUAGAAUAACACAAAAACGUCAUUAUUGUUACUUAGUUGAUCAACCAUUAGAAGUUUGUUGAUUGACCGUUGUUUGGGAAGUUCUAGAAUAAGUACCAUCUUGAGCUAACUAUCUUGAACACAAUUUUAUGUUUGAUUAUAUCUUCUUCAGUAUUUCGUGAACUCUAAAUUAUUUUCAUUGUUGACUCUGGUAGAAAUUGAUUAUUCAUCAAUGGGAGAUUUAAAAGAACCCCAUGACUGAGGUAUGUAUUAGGUCUUGAGCACUACCAGCUUACUCAAUAUAUUUAGAUAUAAAGAAUGUGUUUUAUUGUAAUUGUCUUGAAGAGUUUGUACUUGAAUUAAACUAUCUACUCAGUUUCCUUUCGAUAUUUGACUUAUGGAACUUCAGUUUGAUACUUUAUGUGAUAAAUACAGUCAAUAAAUCAAUCUAUCUAUGUCUUGAAACAGAGAAGAAACUUUUCAAUUAAGGUUUGUGAAGAAAAUGAGAAAAGCAAAGUGGAUCACUUUUUUAUAUUUCCCUUUUCGUGUAUUAGAAAAUUUUAUUAUUGACAAAGACCACACUAAGAUAAUGCUGAGAUGACAUAAAAGAAAUAUUAAUAUCAGUCCAUAUUUAUUCUUGCAGUGAUGACAAAAAAUAUAUCAAUGUAUUUACUUCAUAUCCUUAUAUGUUCUUUAUAACGAAUGAACUUUUUGUGUCACUUAAUAGUCAUAUGAUAUUAAUGUAUCUUUUUCUUUUAUAUGAGGGAAAGUAAAAUGCAUUGACCAACUUUUCUGGACAUCAUUUGCAUUUCACAUAAGUUGUGUCAGCAUUAGCUUAUCAAAGAAAACAUAAGGCUUAGCAUUUUUUCGAUUUUUUCGUUAAUUGUUAGGUGGUUAAAUCUUAAUGAUAGGAAGAUCCUAUACUGUUUUGAUAAAAUAUUAUAUUUGAUGUAUCUUUAGAUUGUAGUAACAGUGUCUUGCUAUAAAAGGCCAUAAUUUGACUCUUGAGUAUAGUAUUUUUCGAGUAGUUUAUUUGUGGUGAUCGCACUUAUCUCUUUAUGUCGUGAUAUUUUUCAAUUCUUGCUAUCAUUUAAUAUUUUCUAUCUCUAAAUAUUUGACUUCUUAUUCUCUACUUGGAAUAGGACAGGUUGUCUGAAGAACACAUAGUAGCAGAUGUAUGAAUGCAAUACACAAAAUAUUUGCCAUACUUUAUGUGGCUCUUAGUUGGACUAUGUUCUCUUUUGUUUAUAGUACAAACACGGAUAGCAACUGAUAUAUUUAGUUGAUCACGUAGCAUAAGAUAGUGGGUAGAAAACGAUGAAGAAAUAAGGCGUACUUGAGCUUGAGUUUGAUUUUGUAAGUAUAUUUAAAGGAAGUUGAAGAAAAGGAAAUAUUUAGCUCAAUUUUGAUAAAUCUAGGGAAGCAAUA
rnacentral:lncRNA from 1 species